AUAAUUUGUCUUUUAAUUAAAGACUAGAACAAAAGAUUUAACAUUUUUACUUAUUUAUUUAAAUUUAAAUUUAAAUUUUUCUUCAAAGUAAAAAGACUUUGAUGAUAAAAAAAGACGACAAGACCCUAUUGAACUUAACUUCAGUUAAACUGGGGUAGUAAAAUAAUUAUCAUUUUAUUCAAUUUAAUCAUCAAAAUAUCUAAUACUAAUUAAUUAAUCCAGUUACCAUAGGGAUAACAGCACAAUUAUAUUUUAGAGCACUCAUCUAAAAAAUAGAUUAUGACCUCGAUGUUGAAUUAAUAUCCUAUUUUAAGCAAAUUUAAAAAAAGGAAGUCUGUUCGACUUUUAAAAAAUUACAUGAUUUGAGUUCAGACCGGUGUAAGCCAGGUCGGUUUCUAUCUUUUAUAUAAUUUUAUAUAGUACGAAAGGAAAUAUAAAUAUUUUAUAGUAUAUUGGCAGACAAAUGCAUUAGAAUUAGAAUCUAAAUAAAGA
rnacentral:rRNA from 1 species